rnacentral:rRNA from 1 species
AACGAACGCUGGCGGCAGGCUUAACACAUGCAAGUCGAACGCUCGUAGCAAUACGGGAGUGGCGGACGGGUGAGUAACGCGUGGGAACGUGCCCUGAGGUACGGAAUAACUGCGGGAAACUGCAGCUAAUACCGUAUGAGCCCCUAACGGGGGAAAGAUUUAUCGCCUUGGGAGCGGCCCGCGUCGGAUUAGCUAGUUGGUGGGGUAACGGCCUACCAAGGCUUCGAUCCGUAGCUGGUCUGAGAGGACGAUCAGCCACACUGGGACUGAGACACGGCCCAGACUCCUACGGGAGGCAGCAGUGGGGAAUCUUGCGCAAUGGGGCAACCCUGACGCAGCCAUGCCGCGUGAAUGAUGAAGGCCUUAGGGUUGUAAAGUUCUUUUGCCCGUGACGAUGAUGACGGUAGCGGGAGAAUAAGCUCCGGCUAACUUCGUGCCAGCCGCCGCGGUAAUAC